UAUUACUAAUUAUUUACUGAUCUCUCGAAUGGCAUUCGUCUGUAUCAUUUAGAUUGAUCUCGCUUUAGUCUCGUAUCAAUCAAUCAUGCCUCCUGAGCAGAGUAUAGGCAACUAUACUGUCUGUCCUGGGAAUAAUGAGCCCCUGGCCGGACGUGAUUUGUUGUUGAUGAACAGAAGAGAGCUUGAUUAUUAGGAUUGAUUUUCUUUUUAGGAUUGUCCCGCAUCACA
rnacentral:lncRNA from 1 species